CCUACGGGAGGCCGCAGUGGGGAAUAUUGCACAAUGGGCGCAAGCCUGAUGCAGCCAUGCCGCGUGUGUGAAGAGGGCCUUCGGGUUGUAAAGCACUUUCAGCGGGGAGGAAGGCGGUGAGGUUAAUAACCUCAUCGAUUGACGUUACCCGCAGAAGAAGCACCGGCUAACUCCGUGCCAGCAGCCGCGGUAAUACGGAGGGUGCAAGCGUUAAUCGGAAUUACUGGGCGUAAAGCGCACGCAGGCGGUCUGUCAAGUCGGAUGUGAAAUCCCCGGGCUCAACCUGGGAACUGCAUUCGAAACUGGCAGGCUAGAGUCUUGUAGAGGGGGGUAGAAUUCCAGGCGUAGCGGUGAAAUGCGUAGAGAUCUGGAGGAAUACCGGUGGCGAAGGCGGCCCCCUGGACAAAGACUGACGCUCAGGUGCGAAAGCGUGGGGAGCAAACAGGAUUAGAUACCCGAGUAGUC
rnacentral:rRNA from 1 species